rnacentral:rRNA from 1 species
GACGUAGGGCGCAAGCGUUGUCCGGAUUUAUUGGGCGUAAAGAGCUCGUAGGCGGCUUGCCACGUCUGCCGUGAAAACCCGCAGCUCAACUGUGGGCUUGCAGCUGAUACGGGCAGGCUUGAGUUCGGUAGGGGAGACUGGAAUUCCUGGUGUAGCGGUGAAAUGCGCAGAUAUCAGGAGGAACACCGGUGGCGAAGGCGGGUCUCUGGGCCGAUACUGACGCUGAGGAGCGAAAGCGUGGGGAGCGAACAGG